AUAAGAGAGCAGGCUGAGCAAGCCAGGGGAGGCAAGCCAGUAAAGAACAUCCCUCCACGGCCUCUGCAUCAGCUCCUGCUUCCUGACCUGUUUGAGUUCCAGUCCUGACUUCCUUUGGUGAUGAACAGCAGCAUGGAAGUAUCAAGAUGUAGAACUCUCAGCUCCUCCUUCAACACCAUGCCUGUGUGAAUGCUGCCAUGCUUCCCACCAUGAUGAUAAUGGACCAAACCUCUGAAACUACCUGGCCACUCUAGCUCGAGCAUUACCCCUUCUCAAGUAGCCCUGCCUUGGCUCACGGUUUCUAGAUAGCCAGAACAGAAAAACAAAAAUUCAUCCCGGUGCAAGGGUUCCUUGUGUCUAAAAGGUGAAACUAAGAAGGUGGCUCCUGCUGGAUGGGAAUGAAGAGAGUCCUGAGAAGGGAAGCAGAUUGGUACCCAUGGAGCUAGAGGGCCCUUGGCGUGAGUAUGGAGAUGAACCUGGGUAUCCAGAAUGCCAGAGAGGCUGGUUGCACCCUGCCAGACUCAGGAAUCCUUUCUCUUCGCUGUGUGUGUUCUCCAAAGAUCUUCUCGGUUACCUCAUCUCUACCACAAGAACUUCCUUAGCAAUGGAAAGCACAUUUCUGUUAAAAAGUAAGAAAAUUGAACAUUAUCAAUGCAAGAUUACUCCCAAAUAAAUUAUAGCUAAAUUCCAUCUAAAAAAACAAAAAACUCCAGGUGAGAGUAAUCCUCCAUACAGGGCAAAUUGUGCAUGGAGGUCAGAGUGGUGUGCCUUGUGACUCCAUGUCCAUGGUUAAAACUGUCUGGGUCCCACCCCAUAGUCUGACCCACAGAGGCUGCUCUUGACUGUGAGGAGGGAGGACAUUCACUUAUUCAGUUCUGAGUUCGUUGUUUCC